AUUUGUUUUCCCCUAGGAAUGUUAACUAUAACGGACUUCAUUAACAUACUGCACAGAUACUACAAAUCACCCAUGGUACAAAUCUAUGAGCUGGAAGAGCACAAGAUUGAAUCAUGGAGAGCACUCUGCCCAAAGAAAGGCAUUGAGACCAAUUUAUAGUACUUCACCUAGCCCAGCUGAGAUUGUGAAACUCUAUCCAGUUUGACCUUGUCUGAGAGGAUCUCCCAUACCAUAUGGUUUAGUUAGUCACUAAACCAUAUGGA